rnacentral:rRNA from 1 species
AACGAACGCUGGCGGCAGGCCUAACACAUGCAAGUCGAACGCCCUAGCAAUAGGGAGUGGCAGACGGGUGAGUAACGCGUGGGAACGUACCCUUCGGUUCGGAAUAACCCAGGGGAAACUUGGACUAAUACCGGAUACGUGCGAGAGCAGAAAGAUUUAUCGCCGAAGGAUCGGCCCGCGUCCGAUUAGCUAGUUGGUGAGGUAAUGGCUCACCAAGGCGACGAUCGGUAGCUGGCUGAGAGGAUGAUCAGCCACACUGGGACUGAGACACGGCCCAGACUCCUACGGGAGGCAGCAGUGGGGAAUAUUGGACAAUGGGCGCAAGCCUGAUCCAGCCAUGCCGCGUGAGUGAUGAAGGCCCUAGGGUUGUAAAGCUCUUUCGCCAGGGACGAUAAUGACGGUACCUGGAUAAGAAGCCCCGGCUAACUUCGUGCCAGCA